UCUUCAGAAUUAGGAUGUUGUUUGUGUGGUUGUUGUAUGACGCCGCUCUCAGCAAUAUUCCAGCUAUUGGCGGCAGUCUGUAAAUAAUCGAGUCUGGAC